rnacentral:misc_RNA from 1 species
UAUAAUACAAACAAAGGUGGUGCAGUAUUCUAGUCGGCACUAUCGAUCACCAGGGCGGGCCUAAAAAUCCGUCGAAGGGCAUAUCGAUGAAGUCCCUUGUUCCUGCUUUCGACGCCCAGUCGAGGGUUCUUUCAGGGGGUUAAGGAGGAUGGGGCGAUCUGCAAUGGCAUGCAGGCGUAGACCCUGCCUCCGUGGAGACCGGCUUUUGCCGGGAAAACCUGCCAACGUGCCCCAGGCUGUAGUGGCCUGAAGGUUCUGACGCAGUGUAGCCUGCCUUGAGUGGCUUGGGUGGAUGGUCUGACAGUUUCAUACGGUUCAGGGCCCGAACGUUAUGAAAUAAUGCGGCCGAAACCCAAUCUGCAAAAGAGGCUAAGGGUCGAUGGGUGCCGCCGGGGAAAACCCCUAGGCUGCUCAAUCGUGUCAUUCGUAUAAGAGGCACAGUGGGGAUUAUAGUGCACACUUAGUGGUAAUUCAGUCCCACG